rnacentral:rRNA from 1 species
ACCGAGUUAUACACUCAUCAACCCUGUGAACAUACCUAUAACGUUGCCUCGGCGGGAACAGACGGCCCCGUAACACGGGCCGCCCCCGCCAGAGGACCCCCUAACUCUGUUUCUAUAAUGUUUCUUCUGAGUAAACAAGCAAAUAAAUUAAAACUUUCAACAACGGAUCUCUUGGCUCUGGCAUCGAUGAAGAACGCAGCGAAAUGCGAUAAGUAAUGUGAAUUGCAGAAUUCAGUGAAUCAUCGAAUCUUUGAACGCACAUUGCGCCCGCCAGUAUUCUGGCGGGCAUGCCUGUUCGAGCGUCAUUACAACCCUCAGGCCCCCGGGCCUGGCGUUGGGGAUCGGCGGAAGCCCCCUGCGGGCACAACGCCGUCCCCCAAAUACAGUGGCGGUCCCGCCGCAGCUUCCAUUGCGUAGUAGCUAACACCUCGCAACUGGAGAGCGGCGCGGCCACGCCGUAAAACACCCACUUCUGAAUGUGACCUCGAA